rnacentral:pre_miRNA from 7 species
UUUUGGGGUUCCUGUGUGUCACACAGAUCUUGGUGGGACCUCCAAAUGAUAGAACCUAGUAGAGAGACCCCCCACUCAAUUCCCAAUUCGGCGUGCACCUUAAGAAUCACGAAAAGACCG